UACGGAGGGUGCAAGCGUUAAUCGGAAUUACUGGGCGUAAAGCGUGCGCAGGCGGUUUGUUAAGUCCGCUGUGAAAUCCCCGAGCUCAACUUGGGAAUUGCAGUGGAUACUGGCAAGCUGGAGUAUGGUAGAGGAAGGUGGAAUCCCGGUGUAGCAGUGAAAUGCGUAGAGAUCGGAGGAACACCAGUGGCGAAGGCGGCCUUC
rnacentral:rRNA from 1 species